UACAGAGGGUGCAAGCGUUGUUCGGAAUUAUUGGGCGUAAAGCGCGCGUAGGCGGCGCGGUAUGUCGUGCGUGAAAUCUCCCGGCUUAACUGGGAGGGGCCGUGCGAAACUGCCGGGCUUGAGGUCGGAAGGGGAAAGUGGAAUUCCGGGUGUAGUGGUGGAAUACGUAGAUAUCCGGAGGAACACCAGCGGCGAAGGCGGCUUUCUGGUCCGAUACUGACGCUGAGGUGCGAAAGCGUGGGGAGCGAUCCGG
rnacentral:rRNA from 1 species